CCUCAUCUUCUUAUUCUAGUUUUCCUCUUCUUCUUUUUCUUCUAGUUUCUUUUUAUACUGGUUCCUUCUUCUUCUUCUUCUGGUUUCUUCCUUCUUUUUCCAAAUACUGAUCUGGUUGAAUUGCAGUAUUUGUGUGGUCAAAUUGUUUAAUUCCAAUAGACGUCCGCAUCAAUUGUUGUCGUUUUUUUCCUUUCUUUUUUGUUUUUCUAUAAUAUUGAAUGCUGUCUCUCCGAUUCAAUAGUGUAAUCAAACGUAGGAAUUGAAUACAACGUUCGACUCUAGAUUCCAUUCCAUUUUCAUUCCUAUUCCUAUUGAAAUUCCAUUGGAUCAUCCAUAUGACUUUUCCUGAUGGUGUUUCCACGAAUUCUACGGGCUACUCGCCCUCUUCAUAGUAAUGGCUACAUUCUCCCCCAUAUCGCUUUCAUUACUCGUCGUUUCCUCUUUGUUGAUCCUUCCGAUGGAACUUGCUCUUCUUCUAUGUGCAACUCUACAAUCUCCGAGCAAUUCGUCCUUAAAGAGCUCUCCGACCUCCUCCCUAUUGAUCUUGACCCUCCAAAACCCCGCCUUUUUACUGAGAGGCCAAUGCAAGAGUGCGCAUUGACUAGCCUUCGGGAUCAAAUUCUCUCUCCUGCUGAGAGGCUUAGGGGAGUCUUUCUUCAGAAGUUACCAGGUAGGUCUGCCCUUGAGUCUGCACUCUCAGCCAUCAGCGUCGACCUGACCCACGACAUCUACUCUGAUGUGCUAAACAAGGGAAACCUAGGCGGAGCAGCUAUGGUCUCCUUCUUCAGCUGGGCAAUUCAACAGCCAAAGGUGGUACCGUGUACCAAAACUUACAAUGUGAUGUUGAGGGCCCUUGGCCGGAGGAAGUUCUUUGACUUUGUUGAUGAAAUUUUGCUACGAAUGAAGGAUGAUGAUGUUAAAGUCAAUGCUGAAACCUUGGAGAUUUUAAUGGACAGCUAUGUUAGGGCUCGCCGAGUUUUGAAAGCCGUUGAACUUUUCAAAAAUUUGGCGGAGAUUGGAGCUGAGCGGAAUGUUGAAUCUCUCAAUAUAUUGUUAAAAUGCUUGUUUCGAAGAUCUCAUUUCAAGGUUGCAAAUUCUUUGUUCCACACAACUAAAGGAGAAAUCUCUUUUGACUGUACAACAUAUAAUGAGAUGAUUGGUGGAUGGGCAAAGUUUGGUAGGGUUGAUAAGGUAGAGAGCUAUUGGAUGAUGAUGACAGCAGAUGGUUUCAGCCCUAAUAGUGUGACAUAUAAACACAUCAUUGAGGCAUUUGGACGGGCAGGACGGAUUGAUGAAGCUGUAGAUAUCUUCAAGAAGAUGAAGGAGAAGGAUUGUCCCCAAGAUACCAUUUCUUACAACGCAAUGAUCUCUAACUUCAUAGCACUUGGAGAAUUAGACAAAGGCAUUGAGUACUAUAGAGGCAUGAUAGAGAAGGAAUGCUCACCAAAUAUUGAUACCUACAGUAUAUUGAUUUGUGCACUCCUCAAAGUGAGGAGAGUUGCGGAUGCCCUUGAAAUUUUUGAUGAGAUGGUGUGUUGUGGAAUUUUGCCUAGCACAGGGAUGAUCACUUCCAUCAUUGAGCCUUUAUGUAGCUUUGGACCUCCCCAUGCUGCUAUGGUUAUUUAUAACAAGUGUAGGAAAGCAGGAUGUAAAUUGUCUCUGAGAACUUACAAACUUCUUCUUAUGAGGCUUUCAAGGUUUGGCAAAGUUGGGAUGGUGCUAAAAAUCUGGAAGGAGAUGCAAGAUAAUGGUUAUGAUUCUGAUAAAGAAGUUUAUGAGUACAUUGUUAAUGGACUGUGCAACGUUGGGCAGGUCGAUAAUGCUGUUCUUGUUGUAGAGGAAUCUCUGCGGAGAGGGUUUUGUCUUCCAAGGACCAUCUAUAGCAAACUAAACGGCAAGUUGUUGCAGAUGAAUAAAGUCGAGAGAGCAUACCGCCUCUUUCUGAAAGUGAAAGUGGCACGUAAAAAUGCUAAUUCACGAAGCUAUUGGCGUGCUAAUGGUUGGCAUUUUUGACUGUGAAUGCUGGCCCAGCUGUUUUACUAUGGGAGCCAUAUUUUAUGUGAGAAGUCUGAUGUUAGUGAAAUGCUUUAUUGGCCAAGUUGGUACUCGGGUGGCAAAGUUGCUUCAUUUGACAAUGAUCGAUUUCUGCUGGGUUCAUUCCCUUGAGGAUUAAAUGUCCUUUCACCUAGGAGGUCACUUAGUACUAUGAUUUAUCUCCAUUCAUCUUGCUAUAGGGCUGGCGAUGAGGGACGCUUGAGCUACGCAAGCUGAGUCAAUACAACCAUCCAAAGAAGCAAGCCCUUAAAUGACCUCCCUCAUGGUGUUGACAGCAUGCAGAAGCUUCUCAUGGAGUCAACAAAGCGGACAAGUUGACUGA